GAUGAACGCUGGCGGCGUGCCUAAUACAUGCCAGUCGAGCGAACAGAUGAGGAGCUUGCUCCUCUGACGUUAGCGGCGGACGGGUGAGUAACACGUGGAUAACCUACCUAUAAGACUGGGAUAACUUCGGGAAACCGGAGCUAAUACCGGAUAAUAUAUUGAACCGCAUGGUUCAAUAGUGAAAGACGGUUUUGCUGUCACUUAUAGAUGGAUCCGCGCCGCAUUAGCUAGUUAGUAAGGUAACGGCUUACCAAGGCAACGAUGCGUAGCCGACCUGAGAGGGUGAUCGGCCACACUGGAACUGAGACACGGUCCAGACUCCUACGGGAGGCAGCAGUAGGGAAUCUUCCGCAAUGGGCGAAAGCCUGACGGAGCAACGCCGCGUGAGUGAUGAAGGUCUUCGGAUCGUAAAACUCUGUUAUUAGGGAAGAACAAAUGUGUAAGUAACUAUGCACGUCUUGACGGUACCUAAUCAGAAAGCCACGGCUAACUACGUG
rnacentral:rRNA from 1 species